GACUACCGGGGUAUCUAAUCCUGUUUGCUACCCACGCUUUCGCACCUCAGCGUCAGGAUACGUCCAGUAACCUGCCUUCGCCAUGGGUGUUCCUCCCGAUAUCAAUGCAUGUCACCGCUACACCGGGAAUUCCAGUUACCUCUACGUCCCUCUAGCCUACCAGUAUGCAGAGCAAUUUCCACGUUGAGCGUUGGAGAUUUCACUCUACACUUAAUAGGCCGCCUACGCGCGCUUUACGCCCAGUAAAUCCGGACAACGCUUGCUCCCUACGUCUUACCGCGGCUGCUGGCACGUAGUUAGCCGGAGCUUAUUCACAGGGUACCGUCCUAAGUCUUUCCCUGUAAAAGGAGUUUACAGACCGAAAUCCUUCAUCCUCCACGCGGCGUCGCUGCAUCAGGGUUUCCCCCAUUGUGCAAGAUUCCCCACUGCAGCCCCCCGUAGG
rnacentral:rRNA from 1 species